rnacentral:rRNA from 1 species
CCUACGGGAGACAGCAGUGAGGAAUAUUGGUCAAUGGACGAGAGUCUGAACCAGCGAAGUAGCGUGAAGGAUGACUGCCCUAUGGGUUGUAAACUUCGUUUAUAAAGGAAUAAAACGAGGCACGUGUGCCUUUUUGCAUGUACUUUAUGAAUAAGGAUCGGCUAACUCAGUGACAGCAGCCGCGGUAAUACGGAAGAUCCGAGCGUUAUCCGGAUUUAUUGGGUUUAAAGGGAGCGUAGAUGGGUUGUUAAGUCAGUUGUGAAAGUUUGCGGCUUAACCGUAAAAUUGCAAUUGAUACUGGCAGUCUUGAGUACAGUUGAGGUAGGCGGAAUUCGUGGUGUAGCGGUGAAAUGCUUAGAUAUCACGAAGAACCCCGAUUGCGAAGGCAGCUUACUAAACUGUGACUGACAUUGAUGCUCGAAAGUGUGGGUAUCAAACAGGAUUAGAUACCCUGGUAGUC